rnacentral:rRNA from 1 species
UACAGAGGGGCGAGCGUUGUUCGGAAUUACUGGGCGUAAAGGCGCGUAGGCGGCCAACUAAGUCAGACGUGAAAUCCCUCGGCUCAACCGGGGAACUGCGUCUGAUACUGGAUGGCUUGAAUUCGGGAGAGGGAUGCCGGAAUUCCAGGUGUAGCGGUGAAAUGCGUAGAUGCGGAAGGAACACCGGGUGGCGAAAGGCGGCAUCCUGGACCGAGAUUGACGCGUGAUGCGGCGAAAGCCAGGGGAUGCCAA